rnacentral:rRNA from 1 species
AUUGAACGCUGGCGGCAUGCCUUACACAUGCAAGUCGAACGGUAACAGGUUAAGCUGACGAGUGGCGAACGGGUGAGUAAUGUAUCGGAACGUGCCCAGUCGUGGGGGAUAACUACUCGAAAGAGUGGCUAAUACCGCAUACGGCCUGAGGGUGAAAGCGGGGGACCGUAAGGCCUCGCGCGAUUGGAGCGGCCGAUAUCAGAUUAGCUAGUUGGUGGGGUAAAAGCCCACCAAGGCGACGAUCUGUAGCUGGUCUGAGAGGACGACCAGCCACACUGGGACUGAGGCACGGCCCAGACUCCUACGGGAGGCAGCAGUGGGGAAUUUUGGACAAUGGACGAAAGUCUGAUCCAGCCAUGCCGCGUGCGGGAAGAAGGCCUUCGGGUUGUAAGCCGCUUUUGUCAGGGAAGAAACGAGUUUCUCUAAUACAGAGACUUAAUGACGGUACCUGAAGAAUAAGCACCGGCUAACUACGUGCCAGCAGCCGCCGUAAGAC